AUGUUACAUUUGAUUUGGGCCAUUAUUAAACUAGUUUGUUUUUCUGUGACAGAUGAAGUGAAUGUCCUGCUGCCGGUGAUCACUGGAUUAUUAGUUGCUUUUGUUGUUCUUGCCAUUAUUCUUUUUGUUUUUUACCUGUUGAGAAAAUGUUUUAAAUAUCAAAAAUCUCUGAAGACACAAACACAGUUAGUGAGAGGAAUGGAUCCACGACUUUUGGAACAACUUGAGGAGGAAGUUGGUUUGAGUUUCAUUGGAAGCAGUUUUUUCGGUGAGUGUUACAUCUGUUUGAUGUGGAGAUGUGAGUUACGUGCACUAAUACAUACACUUUUUAAAUGUUUACUUUGUUUAUACAUAUCAAAGCAAGAUAUCAAUAAGCAGCAAAUGAAAUCAAAGUCCACUUAUACAUGCGUACAUAAUAUCACUGAUAUUUCAUUGACAUUAAUACAUGAGUAAGAGAUUGUUUAUGACUAAAUCUUUACAUAUCAUUCUGAUGAUAAACUGAAGUGAAAUGAGAUGAAGACAUUCACUGUUUGUUUUAAUAUUUAUUAUUUCAGUUGGUUUGAGUUUCAUUGGAAGCAGUUUUUUCGGUGAGUGUUACAUCUGUUUGAUGUGGAGAUGUGAGUUACGUGCUACUAAUACAUACACUUUUUAAAUGUUUACUUUGUUUAUACAUAUCAAAGCAAGAUAUCAAUAAGCAGCAAAUGAAAUCAAAGUCCACUUAUACAUGCAUUGUCUUUAUUUCACUUUUAGAAUAACAAAGCAACAUAACUAAAUUAAAAUGACAGGCUGACAUAAUGCAGUUGGUUUAAUGCUGGAUAUGAAGUUACAGGCCAAACCAAAGCAAAUUAUUGAUCAUACAAAAUUGUCAAUAAAAUCAAAUAAUGACAUUUAAUAUUAAAUGUAUUAAUUCCAAUCCGAGUCAGUGAAUAGUGAGUAUCUGCUGAUACUGAUUCCUGAUCCGAUAUUUGAACUUUCCUAGUGCUUGGUGCACACUUAGAGUACAUUAAAGUUAUACAUUUAUUAAAAUUAAUCCAGAUUAUACAGGGAUGUGCAGAGAGUUUUUCAGGGACAGGGACUCAAAUGUAGAAAAAAUAUAUACAGCAGGUAAAAUAAGUAUUGAACACAUCACCAUUUUUCUCAGUAAAUAUAUUUCUAAAGGUGCUGUUGAUAUGAAAUUUUCACCAGAUGUCGAUAACAACCCAAGUAAUCCCUGCAUACAAAGAAAACAACACAAAUAAGUUCAGAUAUUAAGUUAUGUGUAAUAAAAUGGAAUGACACAGGGAAAAAAGUAUUAAACACGCUUACUGAAAUUUAUUAAAUACUUUAUACAAAAGACUUUGUUGGUAAUGACAGCUUCAAGACACCUCCAAGACACCUGAGAAAAAUGGUGACGUGUUCAGUACUUAUAUUACCCAUUGUGUCUGUAUAUAUAUAUAUAUAUAUAUAUAUAUAUAUAUAUAUAUAUAUAUAUAUAUAUAAGUAAAUAUAUUUCUAAGGUGCUGUUGACAUGAAAUUUUCACCAGAUGUCGGUUACAACCCAGUAAUCCAUACAUACAAAGAAACAAAGCAAAUACGUUCAGAAAUUAAGUUAUGUGUAAUAAAAUGGAAUGACAGAGAAAAAGUAUUGAAUUACUGAAAUUUAUUUAAUGCUUUGUAUAAAAGCCUCUGUUGGUAAUGACAGCUUUAAGACGCCUCCUGUAUGGAGAAACUAGUCGCAUGCAUUGCUCAGGUGUGAUUUUAGCCCAUUCUUCCUCACAAACAAACCUUCAAAUCCUGAAGGUUCUGUGAGCCUCUUCUAUGAACUCUGAUCUUUAGUUCUUAUUUUCUGUUGGAUUCAAGUCAGGUGAUUGGCUGGGCCAUUCUAGCAGUUUAACUUUCUUUUUCUGAAACCAAUUGAGUAGUUUCCUUGGCUGUGUUUGGGAUCUUUGUCUUGCUGAAAGGUCCACCUUGUUCAUCUUCAUCCUUUAUGGUACUGUAGAUGUUGGGACUGAACCAACUAAUAUUAAUUUCCACUGACAAGGGGCAGGAUUGGUCAACCAAGCCUCUGCUGGUUGACUAACGAUUAGUUAACUAUUUGGGGGGCAGCCCUAUUAAUUUCUGAACUUAUUAGUUUUCUUUUCUUUGUAUGUAUGGAUUGCUUGGGUUGUUACCG
rnacentral:lncRNA from 1 species